GAGGUGAGCAUCUGGAAUAGGUAGCCUGGGAAGAUGUAGUAUGCAAAGCUGCAGACGAAUGCCACCAGGAAGAACUGGUUCCGCGUCAAGCCACCUUUUCUCCGUGCUUCCUUCUCAUGAAGUGCGCUAGUAUAAGAAAUAUUUCGGUGCAGCACUGCAGCGGUUCCAACUUCCAAGUGGAACAUAUGUGGUGGUUCAGACUCUUGCAUUGCCGGUGUGGAGGUUUGAGUGGAUCAAAAUUUUGCAAGAAUUCAACUCUGGUUGGAUGGCCACCACAUAGACGCCGGCUCAACAAGAUAACGCCGGAAUAUUCCCGCCCAGCCGAACCCCAGCAUCUGAUGGCAGAAGCUAGUUUGCAUGCACCUGUGUUGUGAGGACGACAAGGAGGGAGAUGAAGAAGGAGAGGGUUUUCCCGUAGAAGACACGGACGCCGGUGAUGACGUGGAUGGCAUAGACGGUGCCGGCGCCGGAGUUGGCGAAGAU